AUUGAACGCUGGCGGCAGGCUUAACACAUGCAAGUCGAGCGGUAACAGGAAUAGCUUGCUAUUUGCUGACGAGCGGCGGACGGGUGAGUAAUGCUUGGGAAUAUGCCUUAUGGUGGGGGACAACAGUUGGAAACGACUGCUAAUACCGCAUAAUGUCUACGGACCAAAGGGGGGGAUCUUCGGACCUCUCGCCAUUUGAUUAGCCCAAGUGAGAUUAGCUAGUUGGUAAGGUAAUGGCUUACCAAGGCGACGAUCUCUAGCUGGUUUGAGAGGAUGAUCAGCCACACUGGGACUGAGACACGGCCCAGACUCCUACGGGAGGCAGCAGUGGGGAAUAUUGCACAAUGGGGGGAACCCUGAUGCAGCCAUGCCGCGUGUGUGAAGAAGGCCUUCGGGUUGUAAAGCACUUUCAGUUGUGAGGAAAGGUGUGUAGUUAAUAGCUGCAUACUGUGACGUUAACAACAGAAGAAGCACCGGCUAACUUCGUGCCAGCAGCCGCGGUAAUACGAGGGGUGCAAGCGUUAAUCGGAAUUACUGGGCGUAAAGCGUUCGUAGGCGGUUGAAUAAGCAAGAUGUGAAAGCCCAGGGCUCAACCUUGGAACUGCAUUUUGAACUGUUCGACUAAAGUACUGUAGAGGGA
rnacentral:rRNA from 1 species